rnacentral:rRNA from 1 species
CCUACGGGAGGCAGCAGUGAGGAAUAUUGGUCAAUGGACGAGAGUCUGAACCAGCCAAGUAGCGUGAAGGAUGACUGCCCUAUGGGUUGUAAACUUCUUUUAUAAAGGAAUAAAACGAGGCACGUGUGCCCUUUUGCAUGUACCUUAUGAAUAAGGAUCGGCUAACUCCGGGCCAGCAGCCGCGGUAAUACGGAGGGUCCGAGCGUUAUCCGGAUUUAUUGGGUUUAAAGGGAGCGUAGGUGGGUUGUUAAGUCAGUUGUGAAAGUUUGCGGCUCAACCGUAAAAUUGCAGUUGAUACUGGCAGUCUGGAGUGCAGUUGAGGUAGGCGGAAUUCGUGGUGUAGCGGUGAAAUGCUUAGAUAUCACGAAGAACCCCGAUUGCGAAGGCAGCUUACUAGACUGUGACUGACAUUGAUGCUCGAAAGUGUGGGUAUCAAACAGGAUUAGAUACCCUAGUAGUC